ACUAAAUCAAGUCCCUUCCUUCUCCAUCAUUAUCCCUCUCUUCGCCUUUCCCCACUAAAUCAAGUCCCUUCCUUCUCCAUCAUUAUCCCUCUCUUCGCCUUCCUCACUAUACCAAGUCCUUUUCUUUCUGUUUCUGCUUCACUAUCCUUCUCUUUCCCUUCCUCUUCGUUAUCCCUCUUCGCCUGCCUCUCUUAACCAGGUCCUCUUCCUUCCUACCCUUGAAAGACAGCACGAGUUAACGGGUGGUCGUACACAUAAGGACCAACAACCUGACUGGGAGUGGCUAGGAAGAGGCCAGGAGGGCGGGACGGGCGAGGGCGGGGCGCGGGAGGAGCCAUGAGAGCCUACGGGGCGCCCUUACGGUACUUGGAUACUUUUUGGGACUCGAAGGAGGGUUGUUGUCUGACGUCUACACCCACUUGCUCACACCCAAGCCUACACCCACACCCAGGCCUUGCGGGGUGAAUAUACAAGCCUACACCCACGCCCACGCCCAUGCCUACACACGCCUCUCCUCAAGUGACUCAGCACCCCUAUGAUACUGAUUUUUAUUUUUAUUUUUUAGACAGGAAUAUAAAUUUAAGCUAGAAGAGCAUAGGACCAGGGCAACGUAUCUCUCGUGUGUGUGUGUGUGUGUGUGUGUGUGUGUGUGUGUGUGUGUGUGUGUGUGUGUGUGUGAGAGGGGCGUGGGGAGGGGUCAGAGGGCAGAGCAGAGAUCCGAGCUCACUCAAUUCCCUCCAGGGCCAUAACCAUUCCCCUCUCCCUCCUCCUCCUCCUUCCCCUUCCUCCCCACCGUUCCUCGUCCUUCCCCUUCCCCUUCCUCCCCUGCAACGCCCCACAUCUUCAACUGUUUUUCUUCCUUUUUUUUUUUUUUUUUGCUUCACCUUUCCGUGCUAACAUACACACACACCUCACACACGCCAUUACUUUUUUUCUUCGAUAACUGGACCACACACAAACACACACACACACACACACACACACACACGCACACAUACACAAACACACACAUCUCUCACUGACAAAUAGAAGUCAUAAUUUUUAAACCAUUCUGGGAAGUUACAACACACACACACACACACACACACACACACACACACACACACACACACACGGUAAUCAUGGCAGUAAUCACACCACAGUAAUGGCGCCAUCAGCAGGAUCAUAAGCGGCGAUUUUUGCGGCAGUCUCGCUAGUCUCACCCACGGCAGGUGCGCGCGUGUAAUUACCUGGCUACUAACAGGAAAUUAUUCUCCAAAGUUAUGGCGGACAAAUGAGGAAAACUCCGGGAGGCUGUGGAGGACGCGGAGGAGGCUGCUACAGGAGGAAAAGGAGAAGGAGGAGGAGGAGGCCGAAGGUGUGUGUGUGGGUGGGUGGAGGUGGGGAGAGUGUGGAGAGUAAGAAAAUGAAAAGGGGAAGGUUAAGGGAGAAAGGGGAGAAGGUAGAGGAGGCAUAGGAGUGAGUAAUGAAUGAGGAGAGGAAAAGGAAGGGGUUAAGGAGAAAGAGGAGUAGGAAGAAGAGAAGGAAUAGGAGUGUGUGUGUGUGUGUGUGUGUGUGUGUGUGUGUGUGUGUGUGUGUGUGUGUGUGUGUGUGUGUGUGUGUGUGUGUGUGUGUGUGUGUGUGUGUGUGUGUGGUUCCUUGGUCCUCCUCUCUCUCUCUCCCUCAUCGCCAGCCUUGAGGAAACGAGCCCCAGGAAAAAGCACACCUCAUUAAUUUUGUCUUCUUUCUUCCUCUUUCUCCUGAUGGUGGUGGAGGUGGAGGGAGGUGCCUGCUCUCUCUCUCUCUCUCUCUCUCUCUCUCUCUCUCUCUCUCUCUCUUGGGGCGUGUGUUCAAGUAUUGUUUCAUUCUUUGGGCAACGCGUGAGAGGAAUGGAAGUUGAUUUAUCGGAGUCUCGGGAAGCGCAAGAAAGACACACAGGAAGACUUACGCGACGCCGAACAAGACCGAUGAAACUUUGCCUGGAGAAAAAUGUGACUCGCCCGAUUCUUGGAUAAUUCUUUUACGUAUUAUUUAAAGUUCAGAAAAAUGAUGUAUUGCAAGAGUUGAUAUAUUGAAGGUUUGCAUAUCAUCUAAACGGGCUUGCUUAAGACUUAUUUUGUGUUGACUGUUCUUGAAAAAAUGUUUAUAAUUGAAAGAGUUGAUGCGUUGGAGGUUAGGAAUAAGAGACAACACUACGACGAGCUUCCUUAUGAUCAGUGUUAUCGAGGUUUACUAUAUUUAAGAGUGAGAAGAAUGGGAAAAGGAAGUGUAUGAAAAUAGGGAAUGAAAAAAGGAGGGCGAAAGGGAGUUAGCGAAAAAGGAUGAUGAAAAUGGGUCUAAUAAGGAGUGGUGAUGAGGGUGCGGUGUUAAGGAGAAAGGGGGGUAGGUAAAGGGGUGAGUAAGAAGAGGAAAAGGAAGUUAAAGAGAAAGGGGAGUAGGCAGAAGAGGAAGAGGAGUGAGUAAGGUGAAUGAGAAGAGGACAAGGAAGAGGACAAGGAGAAAGGGGAGUAGGUAGAAGAGGAAGAGGAGUGAGUGAGGUGAAUGAGAAGAGGAAAAGGAAGAGGACAAGGAGAAAGGGGAGUAGGCAGAAGAGGAAAAUAAGUGAGUAAGGACAGUGAGGAGAAGAGGAAGAGGAAAAGAUUAAGAGGAGCAGGUAGAACAGGGAAUAGGAGUACGGAGAUAAGGUGAGGGAGGAAAUUAUACGAUAUGCUGUUGCCUAUUAGUUGGGGGAAGGUGGAAACAAAAAGAGAUAGAGGAGGUGGGCACGCUGUUAUCGGUGAGCCAUGCAGCGUGACUCAGAGACCUCGCUAAACACAUAAUCCAGCGCGCCAUAAACUUUAAACUCGAGGCGAUCACAAGGAACGUAAUCAACACAACAAGGGCGAUAACAUUAAGCCGCGGCGGCGAUGAGACUAAAUUUAGGUAGUGAAUGGAAGGAAAGAAAAAACUCCCGCCAACACCAAGACCACACACACA